rnacentral:rRNA from 1 species
AUUGAACGCUGGCGGAAUGCUUUACACAUGCAAGUCGAACGGCAGCACGGACUUCGGUCUGGUGGCGAGUGGCGAACGGGUGAGUAAUGUAUCGGAACGUGCCCAGUCGUGGGGGAUAACGUAGUGAAAAUUACGCUAAUACCGCAUACGAUCUAUGGAUGAAAGCGGGGGAUCGCAAGACCUCGCGCGAUUGGAGCGGCCGAUAUCAGAUUAGGUAGUUGGUGGGGUAAAGGCCCACCAAGCCAACGAUCUGUAGCUGGUCUGAGAGGACGACCGGCCACACUGGAACUGAGCCACGGUCCAGACUCCUACGGGAGGCAGCAGUAGGGAAUUUUGGACAAUGGGCGAAAGGCUGAUCCAGCCAUUCCGCGUGCAGGAUGAAGGCCCUCGGGUUGUAAACUGCUUUUGUACAGAACGAAAAGGUUUCUACUAAUACUAGGAACUCAUGACGGUACUGUAAGAAUAAGCACCGGCUAACUACGUGCCAGCCGCCGCCGUAA